UGGGCAAGAAGCACCCUGUAGGGUCCUGGC
rnacentral:piRNA from 1 species